UACAUGCAAGUCGAGCGCAGGAAGUUAUCUGAUCCUCUUUUAGAGGUGACGAUAAUGGAAUGAGCGGCGGACGGGUGAGUAACACGUAGGCAACCUGCCUGUAAGACUGGGAUAACUCGUGGAAACGCGAGCUAAUACCGGAUAACACUUUUCAUCUCCUGAUGAUAAGUUGAAAGGCGGCUUUUGCUGUCACUUACAGAUGGGCCUGCGGCGCAUUAGCUAGUUGGUAAGGUAAUGGCUUACCAAGGCGACGAUGCGUAGCCGACCUGAGAGGGUGAUCGGCCACACUGGGACUGAGACACGGCCCAGACUCCUACGGGAGGCAGCAGUAGGGAAUCUUCCGCAAUGGACGAAAGUCUGACGGAGCAACGCCGCGUGAGUGAUGAAGGUUUUCGGAUCGUAAAACUCUGUUGUUAGGGAAGAACAAGUGCCAUAGUAACUGAUGGCACCUUGACGGUACCUAACCAGAAAGCCACGGCUAACUACGUGCCAGCAGCCGCGGUAAUACGUAGGUGGCAAGCGUUGUCCGGAAUUAUUGGGCGUAAAGCGCUCGCAGGCGGUUCUUUAAGUCUGAUGUGAAAUCUUACGGCUCAACCGUAAACGUGCAUUGGAAACUGGGGAACUUGAGUGCAGAAGAGGAGAGUGGAAUUCCACGUGUAGCGGUGAAAUGCGUAGAGAUGUGGAGGAACACCAGUGGCGAAGGCGACUCUCUGGUCUGUAACUGACGCUGAGGAGCGAAAGCGUGGGGAGCGAACAGGAUUAGAUACCCUGGUAGUCCACGCCGUAAACGAUGAGUGCUAGGUGUUAG
rnacentral:rRNA from 1 species